rnacentral:tRNA from 1 species
UUCACAGUAGCUCAGUGGDAGAGCUAUCGGCUNUUNACCGAUCGAUCGUAGGUUCGAGUCCUACCUGUGAAUCCA